AUGAUAAAUGGAGCUUGUCAAACAUGGAGCAGAGCUGAACUUUCUGAAUUGCACAGGACUGUUCAGAGUGCUUGGAAUGAAACCCACCCACGAUUAAAACAAAAAAGAAGGAUGACUUGCUGCUGCAUUUGUGUGGAAAGUGCUAAGUUUGCUGCUAGGGAAGUAGGAGAGGAAAUAAGGAAAACAAUAAACCAAGUACAGCUUUGCAAAUACCCAGACACAUUGGAUGGACACAGAAGCUUUCACUGGGAUAUUGUGAAGGUUAAGUACUUCCUGUCUCCAUUACUUCCUAUGACCGUGACCUCACAUUACAAGCCACUGUGGUUGGAACUGCCGGCAAAAUGGAAAGAACCAGAAAGAACAUCAAAGGAGAGUUUUAAAAGGAUAUGAAAUGUAUUAAUUUGUCAUAAUUAUCUAUUUUUGAUAGAAGAAUCUCAGAGGUACUUAAAUUGAUGUCUUGGACCUUCAGUCCAGUGCUGACAUCUUGUAAAAUGUCUUAAGUUCCUACCAGGUAAUUUCUGCUUUCUGUCACAAUGCAGGGGAGAAGUUCUAGGAGGAAGUCAUGUAUUUUUCUCAUCUUUAGGUAUAUUAUAUGUAUACCCUGUAUUUCCCUAAUUAUACAUACACAUAUAUUUAUGUUACACCUUCUAUUUCUCUUAUUUACAUAUAUUAUUAACAAAAACUUUUUAGAAGAUUGUAGAAAUAAGACGAUGUAGGCAUUUGAAAUUUUAUGAGAAAGAGCAUGUCAGAUUUGGGAGUUUGGGAUUUUUAGAAAUUGCCAUAAGAAGUAAGUAAAUGCUGUCACCUUGCCUAUGCUAAUAAAAAUAUAUUAUACAUUUGAAGUUUUCUAAGAGAGUAGAUUCUCACUAUACACACACACGCACACGCACACACAAUAUAACUAUGUUAGGUGAUUAACAUGUUAAUUAGCUUGAUUAGGGUAAUCAUUUCACAGCAUAGACAUAUAUCAAAACAUCACAUUGUAUGCUUUGAAUAUAUACCAUUUUUAUUUGUCCACCAUACCCCAAUAAAGUUGGAAAAAACAAGACUUCAUUCCAACUGUCAAAAUCUACUUGUCAGGGACCUGCUCCAAGGGAGUCGCCAUUCCUUCAUAUUGUUAUUAAAUUGCUUCUUCAUAGAAAACCUAUCUUUGGUGAAAAAAUUAGACUCCAGAAGUGAUAUUUUGCCAGAAACAUCUCUAAAAGCCUUUGUAUCUCCCUGAUGAACUCAAUGUAGCUAUGGAAAUUCCAAUUUCCUAUCUGGGGUCAGCUUCAGAAAUGUGCUUAUUUAUGUGCUUCGAAUUGACUUACCAACUAAUGAACCAAGAAACAAUUUUUCUUUUGGCUGUGUUUCAAAAGGAUCUUGCUCAAAUUUUAAAGGUUAGGGCAUUUUAGAGUCAGAUUUGUUUCACAAUUUUUCUAUGUAACAUAUUCUCUUCCCAUUAAAAUGUAAUUUUCUCUACCAAUAAGGUGUUAGGCUUUUGAUCCCUCAGAGAAACUGUACUUGACAUGAGCAUUACCUCAUCCAAAUGUAUGUCCCCAGUGAACCUGUCAUCGAGUGGACUUGAUGCCUUAAUUUUUUCCUUUUGUAGCAAGAUGCCUAACUGGUUACUUAUGCAAGCAUUGUUAGUGAAAUUAGGGGGAGUAAGGGGAAUAAAAAAUGUAUGGCAAUUAUGAGUGUUAGAACUGAGCACAAUCAUUAUUGCAGCAUCUGAUGCAGACAUUUCAGGGUAAGCCAAGUAGUCUCUUCAGAAUAAAAAUGAGGAUAAUUAGACUCAAUUCAUUUAUUCAACACUUGGGUCAAGUCCAUGAACUCUACAAAGAUAACUGUGCCAUGGAUUUUGCUCUCUAGAGUGCUAAGACAUGUAUAUGGUUUGUCUACUCAUUCAACAAACAUUUUCUGAGCAUGUUUUGUCUCCUGAGGUCAGCUCUGGAGAGACAAUGGUACAUGGCACAAAUCUUUGCAAGUGCUGAAUAUAAUACCUGAUAUUAAUAUGCUGUGAGUGAAGAGUACAAAAUGUGUAGUGGGUGUUCAUGGGAUACAAUAGCUCUGUGCAUGUAGAAGGGAUUAGUAAGGGCCUCAUGAAGGAGGCAGAAUUUGCUUUGGACCUGAAGGAAAGACAGGAUUGGAAAGGUAGAGAUGCUAAAGAAAGUUGUCCUCAAUAGAGAAAAUACCAUAGCUGAAGGCCCCUCAUAUGCUAUUCUUAUCUAAUUAUGUGAUUCUAAGCUCAGGUGAUCCAAAGAAGUUCCUCAGAGUUGUGGCAAACUGAAGCCAGUGGCGUAGGUUGAAAGAAAUCUGAGAGAAGAUUAACACCCAGGAGAAUCUAAGGUGCCAUUGUGGGUGAAUCAUUUUAGGCCGUUUUUCAGAACAAAAUUUCCACACACUCUAUACCAAAUACUCAUGGACUUAUACUUUUGGUUCAUAAGUUUGAUGAAAAACUCUGGAAGCCUAUUGCAGAGAACUGAAUAAGGUAAAAAAAUCUACCUUUUACUGGACACAUCAUUUAGGGAGCAAAUUAGUCUCCAUUAUCAGAAAGUUCUGAGAUUCUCCUCGGAAUCUAAAAUGUGAUACUUUGCUCAGCAGCUGACAGUAUUUUUGCUACAUUUUCAACUUGCCUUCACUUCUGUUUAUUUCACAUGUCUAAUUUACUAUCUAGGUAAUUUAAACAAUGAGAAUACAGUGACCCACAAUUUUCCUAAUUUAAAGGUAGCCCUUGUGCAAUAUUAAAUUUGCAUCUACAUUGCCUGCCUAACAAGACUGUCACCUCCUUGAGGUCAAUGUGAUGUUAUCUAUUUUUUUAGAUAGCAUCUAUGUAUCUAGGAGAUCUAUCUGUGCAAUAGAACCAUACAGUCCUUCAUAGAUAGGGGGAGCACAAAUGUUGGUUGAUAUUUAACCGAAGUAUCAGACCUACAGCUUUCUCUCUAAGAACUCAAACUUCAGAGAAAAUAGAUUCAGAGAGUAAAUGUUUUCCCAUGGCUCAGGCAAGAGGGGUGGUUUGUAUGUUAUUUCUUUCUUAUUUCCCAGUUAGACUUUUGGAAAUCUGCCAGAUGUAAUUGAAAAACCCUGCUCAGCUUUGUCCAGUGUCUCAUUUGAGGAUCGGCAUGAGUUUGUUUACUUGAGAUUAAUAGGAGUCAAGGAUAUACAAAUUCAGCAAUGUAUGGGUAACUUUCCCCUUUUUAACGUUGGCCUCCACAGAAAACUACCACCAUAUUGUUGAAUUUUGGAAGUUUAUUAUGCUUUAUUUUUUCCUAUUAAAAAGAAAUAUAAAUGUCAUCACACUGUAAUAGUUUUAUAACCUGUUUUAUCAUAUUUUAAAAUAUAUCUUGAAUAUUCUUUCAUAUAAUUAAAUAAUCUUCUACAGCAUAAUUUUAGUAUCUAUGAAGUUUCCAUUAUGUGCUUAUAUUAUACAUUUUUACUCUGAAUACAUUAUUGUUGUAAAGAAUGCUUGCAAUUUAUGACAAUAAAUAUAUAUGGCUAAUUCACACAUUAUUCUAAAUCUCAUUGUACUCUCCAGUUAGUCAUCAUUAGUGUCUUGAAGUUCACUGGUUUGGCAUUUUAUGUAUAUUUUUAUCUGUAUGCAUUAAGAAAGUUUAUUUAUUAUUAUUAUUAUUAUUAUUUUUGGAGACACAGUCUUUCUCUGUCCCCCAGGCUGGAGUGCAGUGGCGUGAUCUUGGCUCACUGCAAUCUCUGCCUCCUGGGUUCAAGUAAUACUCCUGCCUCAGCCUCCUGAGUAGCUGGGAUUACAGGCAUACACCACCACGCCUGACUAAUUUUUUGUAUCUUUAGUAGAGAGGGGAUUUCACCAUGUUGGUCAAGUUGAUCUUCAACUCCUGGCCUCAUGAUCCACCUACCUUGGCCUCCAAAAGUGCUGGGAUUACAGGCGUGAGCCACCACACCCGGCCAACAAAGUUUUUUUUUUUUUAAAUUAUUUUAAAACAUUAGAAUUUGUUGGAGAUAAUUAGAUAGGUAUAUUUCUAAAUAUAUAUAUAUAUAUAUGUAUAUAGUAUGAAACAAUAAUCCCAUUAAAUCCUAUACAAAUAAUGAUCCUGCUUAUGAAACCUAUAGACCCAACCAGCUAGCUUCAGAAAUAGAACAUUACUGGUAACUUAAAAACCAGUUUCUAGUCCUCCCCCACUGCCUUCUUCUCUCUAGACCCCAAUGAUUACCACUAUCUGAAAUUUUCUGUAUGUUAUCUUUAAGCUUUGCUUUAUAAUUUUAAAACAUACACUUACAGUCCUGAGAAAGUAUUUUUAAAUUUUAUAUGGUUUCAUUACUAUAGAGGUGGAGACUUUUUUUUAUUAAAUAAUACUUUAAGUUCUAGGGUACGUGUGCACAACGUGCAGGUUUGUUACAUAUGUAUACAUGUGCCAUGUUGGUGUGCUGCACCCAUUAAGUCGUCAUUUACAUUAGGUAUAUCUCCUAAUGCUAUCCCUCCCCCCUACCCCCUCCCCACAAUAGGACCCAGUGUGUGAUGCUUCCCUUCCAG
ensembl:lncRNA